GACGAACGCUGGCGGCGUGCUUAACACAUGCAAGUCGAACGGUAAGGCCCCUCCGGGGUACACGAGUGGCGAACGGGUGAGUAACACGUGAGCAACCUGCCCUUGACUCUGGGAUAACAGUUGGAAACAGCUGCUAAUACCGAAUACGACCUUCGAUGACAUCAUCUGGAGGUGGAAAGCGUUUAGCGGUCAAGGAUGGGCUCGCGGCCUAUCAGCUUGUUGGUGAGGUAACGGCUCACCAAGGCUUCGACGGGUAGCCGGCCUGAGAGGGCGACCGGCCACACGGGGACUGAGAUACGGCCCAGACUCCUACGGGAGGCAGCAGUGGGGAAUAUUGCACAAUGGGCGGAAGCCUGAUGCAGCAACGCCGCGUGCGGGAUGACGGCCUUCGGGUUGUAAACCGCUUUCAGUUCCGACGAAGCGCAAGUGACGGUAGGAACAGAAGAAGGACCGGCCAACUACGUGCCAGCCGCCGCCGUAAAAC
rnacentral:rRNA from 1 species